GUGGUGCCCUAUUCCGGAAAUACGUUUUCCGUUUUUGUCAGGUUCUUUUUGUUCACAUUGUCAUCCGCCAUUUUUUCACGUUUUCAUUUUCAUCGUCAUUUCAUGUCCAUCAAUUCAUGGUCAUUUUUUCGUCUCACCACCAUUUCUUACCAUCAUUGUUCCACCAUCAUGUCAUCAUGCCAUUUCGAAUACAUCAUCAUUAAAUAUCA